UACGGAGGGAGCUAGCGUUAUUCGGAAUUACUGGGCGUAAAGCGCACGUAGGCGGCUUUGUAAGUUAGAGGUGAAAGCCUGGAGCUCAACUCCAGAAUUGCCUUUAAGACUGCAUCGCUUGAAUCCAGGAGAGGUGAGUGGAAUUCCGAGUGUAGAGGUGAAAUUCGUAGAUAUUCGGAAGAACACCAGUGGCGAAGGCGGCUCACUGGAGCUGGUAUUGACGCUGAUGUGCGAAAGCGUGGGGAGCAAACAGG
rnacentral:rRNA from 1 species